GGGAAUAUAGCUCAGUUGGUAGAGUGCUUGCCUUGUAUGCACUAGGCCCUGGGUUCAAUCCCUAGCACCCA
rnacentral:tRNA from 1 species